AUGCUGAGGGCAACAGUUCUGGGGGGGCCACAGCUGGCCCCUGCCAACAAUGGUGCCCUGUGUCAGACCCGCACCCACGGCCAGGCAGCAGCCAUCACCUUGGGGCACACCGCCAGCCGCUCUCACCUCUACACUCUGCUCGCUGCUUCCCAGCUCCCUCCUGACAAAUCCCUGCUCCCGAUCGCUUCUCCUCCCCGCGGGUCCAUAUUAAGCUACAUUCUCCUUUCAGCUGGGUGGAAAACAGCAGUAAUAACCAUGUGGAGAGAGCCGUGCCCCCCACCUCCACUUCCCUCCCACUUCGGGGUUCAAAUUUCAUUUCAGCAAAAAAGCUUCCCCCGCCUCCAAUUUCUUCCCCCAAACCAAGCCGCUGUCGUCUCGUCUGAUCUCGGCAGGGGCCGUAUGGAUGCUCGGCUCCUCCUGGUUCAGGAUCUGCUGCCAAUCUGGACCUCGCAAACUGGUUCUCACACGGCUCCCGCCUGGCACCUCCCUCUCGGCAUUUAUUAUUUCAUUAUUGUCCUUCCUCAGCUCGCUCCCAUGCCACCGCCCCGGGUGCCCCUGGCUCCUCAUCCCAACCCCAACCACCGAGUUGGCCGGGUGAGAUUUAUUCCCGGCGAAUUCCCGGGGGCCGGCAGCUGGAGGAGCCCGGAGCUGCCUCCCUCUCUCCCGCAGCUGAAGAUCUCAUCUCCCUCGCCCAAGGCGCUCCGUCCUCCUCCUCCAGAUAUUUUAGGCCCAGGUUUUGCGAGGAAUUUACAGGCGCCGAGCCCAAGCCGAUGCGCUGAAGUCAGCAGGAGGCGAGGAGCGUGCGCAGGGCUCGGGGCCCCGGGGGUGGCGGCGCAGGGAAGGGAUGCUGCUGCCGGCCUGGAGCUUGUUGAGCCGCGGGAAGGGCAGAGGUUGGGGCUGGCGGAUGCCAGAACCACUCAGCUCUCCCUCCGCGAGGAUCAAUACCACAUUUCGGCUUCCUGCCUCGCGAGGCUGCCGCAGCCCUCACGCCUGCGCAGGGUGGCUUCGGAUGGGAGCGGGGGUCCCCAUGCUCUCCACCACAGUGCUGUGUCCCCGCUGUCACACACCUCGCUCCCUGUGAUCUACACACCAGCCCCGUACGCCUACCCCUCCUGCUGCCCCAUGGCUCCCCUCAAGCCCUCAAGUCACUCCGGUGUCCCCGUAGGCUUCACCCCACUGCAAAGGGAAUCCUCGGCACACGGCUGCCUUUGUCACGGCCCUGCUGGCACACACCCGCCCUACGUGCUCCAACAGGUGAGCCCCCAGGGCAGCGUUCCUGCCUGGGCCAGUAACUGUCCCCACCGGGCAGCGGGUUCACGGUGCUGUUCCGCCCAGCACGUCUCUCCCUGCCACAUCCUCGGCCGGUGA
rnacentral:lncRNA from 1 species